GCGAUAAGCGCCGGUAAGGUGAUAUGAACCGUUAUAACCGGCGAUUUCCGAAUGGGGAAACCCAGUGUGACUCGUCACACUAUCAUUAACUGAAUCCAUAGGUUAAUGAGGCGAACCGGGGGAACUGAAACAUCUAAGUACCCCGAGGAAAAGAAAUCAACCGAGAUUCCCCCAGUAGCGGCGAGCGAACGGGGAGGAGCCCAGAGCCUGAAUCAGCAUGUGUGUUAGUGGAAGCGUCUGGAAAGGCGCGCGAUACAGGGUGACAGCCCCGUACACAAAAGCGCAUGUGCUGUGAGCUCGAUGAGUAGGGCGGGACACGUGGUAUCCUGUCUGAAUAUGGGGGGACCAUCCUCCAAGGCUAAAUACUCCUGACUGACCGAUAGUGAACCAGUACCGUGAGGGAAAGGCGAAAAGAACCCCGGCGAGGGGAGUGAAAAAGAACCUGAAACCGU
rnacentral:rRNA from 1 species